rnacentral:rRNA from 1 species
GACGAACGCUGGCGGCGUGCCUAAUACAUGCAAGUUGAGCGCUGAAGGUUGGUACUUGUACCAACUGGAUGAGCAGCGAACGGGUGAGUAACGCGUGGGGAAUCUGCCUUUGAGCGGGGGACAACAUUUGGAAACGAAUGCUAAUACCGCAUAAAAACUUUAAACACAAGUUUUAAGUUUGAAAGAUGCAAUUGCAUCACUCAAAGAUGAUCCCGCGUUGUAUUAGCUAGUUGGUGAGGUAAAGGCCCACCAAGGCGAUGAUACAUAGCCGACCUGAGAGGGUGAUCGGCCACAUGGGGACUGGGACACGGCCCAAACUCCUACGGGAGGCAGCAGUAGGGAAUCUUCGGCAAUGGACGAAAGUCUGGACGAGCAACGCCGCGGGAGUGAAGAAGGUUUUCGGAUCGUAAAACUCUGUUGGUAGAGAAGAACGUUGGUGAGAGUGGAAAGCUCAUCAAGUGACGGUAACUACCCAGAAAGGGACGGCUAACUACGUG